CAGUCGCCGCGGUAAUACGAAGGGUGCAAGCGUUAAUCGGAAUUACUGGGCGUAAAGCGUGCGUAGGCGGUUUGUUAAGUCUGUUGUGAAAUCCCCGGGCUCAACCUGGGAAUGGCAGUGGAUACUGGGUCACUAGAGUGUGGUAGAGGAUAGUGGAAUUUCCGGUGUAGCAGUGAAAUGCGUAGAGAUCGGAAGGAACAUCUGUGGCGAAGGCGACUAUCUGGGCCAACACUGACACUGAGGCACGAAAGCGUGGGGAGCAAACAGGAUUAGAUACCCGUGUAGUCCCUGUCUCUUAUAC
rnacentral:rRNA from 1 species